UGGGGAAUAUUGGACAAUGGGGGCAACCCUGAUCCAGCCAUGCCGCGUGAGUGAUGAAGGCCUUCGGGUUGUAAAGCUCUUUUGGCGGGGACGAUGAUGACGGUACCCGCAGAAUAAGCCCCGGCUAACUUCGUGCCAGCAGCCGCGGUAAGACGAAGGGGGCUAGCGUUGUUCGGAAUUACUGGGCGUAAAGCGAGUGUAGGCGGUUGCCGUAGUCAGGUGUGAAAGCCUUGAGCUCAACUCAAGAAAUGCACUUGAUACUGGGUGACUAGAGGACCGGAGAGGAUAGUGGAAUUCCCAGUGUAGUGGUGAAAUACGUAGAGAUUGGGAAGAACACCAGUGGCGAAGGCGGCUAUCUGGACGGUUACUGACGCUAAGACUCGAAAGCGUGGGGAGCAAACAGGAUUAGAUACCCUGGUAGUCCACGCCGUAAACGAUGGGUGCUAGACGUUGGCGAGCUUGCUCGUCAGUGUCGCAGCUAACGCGUUAAGCACCCCGCCUGGGGGAGUACGGCCGCAAGGUUGAAACUUAAAUGAAUUGACGGGGGUCAUAGCUGUUUCCU
rnacentral:rRNA from 1 species